GAGACUGCCGGUAAUAAACCGGAGGAAGGUGGGGAGUGACGUCAAAUCAUCAUGCCCCUUAUGACCUGGGCUACACACGUGCUACAAUGGUUGGUACAACGAGUUGCGAGUCGGUGACGGCGAGCUAAUCUCUUAAAGCCAAUCUCAGUUCGGAUUGUAGGCUGCAACUCGCCUACAUGAAGUCGGAAUCGCUAGUAAUCGCGGAUCAGCACGCCGCGGUGAAUACGUUCCCGGGCCUU
rnacentral:rRNA from 1 species